GCGUGUGGCGCGAGCGGGGCUGAGCGCAGUGUGUUCCUCUGCGCUCCCGGGGCCGCGCCCGGCGGACUGGGAAGUCUCGUGCUGACUGGAUUGUCUUAACUGCUGCUGAAGGAGAGCGGCACCAAUGGAUUAUCAGUCUGACCCAGAGAUGAAACAGCCAGCAAGCUGACAAAGCCUUUAGUUGAUAUGAACAAUUUUGUUGUCCCUGUCUGGUGAAUAAUGUGUCUGCAUAUGAGACAGAUUCUGCACACUUGCCUUUCCUGAUGCAGCCUGACACAGCCAGCAAGAGCAGAAGAUUCAGGAUGAAGCUCAAAUGAUCCUUUCACUAAGGGAAGGAAGAGAAUCUAGGAUGUCUGGGAAUAGCAGGGAGACUCUCCUGGGCACUGCAAAGCCAUGUUCCAGAAACUUUUCUGUGUCUGUAGAGGGAGAUUUUCAGGCUGAACAGGAGCAGACUUGUUGAAUACAUGUCUACAUGAGCUACUCUUUUCUUUGGUGU